rnacentral:tRNA from 1 species
GAACGUAUAGCUCAGUGGUAGAGCACAUGCUUAGCAUGCACGAGGUCCUGGGUUCAAUCCCCAGUACCUCCU